ACAGUGUUGAUACAAUGA
rnacentral:snRNA from 1 species